AAGUUCACAUAACGGAUAAAAUCUUAAAUUUGGCCUUGAAUUGCGAUAUAUUUUUUUGUACAAAAUUGAUGAAGAAACACAAAGUGAGGAUUAAGAGUCGCGAUAACAUUGUUUUAAAAGUUUGUGAUGAUGACAAAUAUGCAGAAGAACGGGGAACUAACUACUUACUCUCCGCAAGUGUGACGGUGGCGGCGGCGUUGACGGUGACGGGCAACGAGAUCUCGCCAUCCGAGUCUCCCGCAGGUAAACUGAUGAUGGUGGCUUCUCCCAGGAGGUUACAGAUCCUCUGCUGCAUGGCAGUGAGCAGGACGGGGACUGGAGUACAAUCGGCGGACGUCCCCUCUAUGGCUGCCCGCGCCUGAGCCACUUUCCUCCGGACCUCCGUCUUCAUGUCCGACCAUUUCUUCUUGACCUCCGGCAACUCCCUGGGACAGGUGGUGACAGCGUUCACCUUUUUGAGGAUCUCCAUCCACGCGUUGUUCUUUGCCAUGGAACAUUGGAGCCAGGGGGUGCAGUUCUUCAUUGUCGUCAUUUUAAAGUGUUGAGCCGCGCAGCCGGCAUGCACGGUCGCCUGUUGGCCGUCAGACUGGUACAAAGAGUCCAAAUACAGGUAGAGCAAGAUGUUGCUGAGGAGUAAAGCUGCAAGGCAAAUUGCCAUCAUCGCAGCAGUGCGGGAGAUUGCAGUGCUACUCCGACGAGCCAUGUUGCACUGGAACAGGAAAACAAAGGGGGAGACAAAAUUAUAUUUGCUGCAGAACGUCGUUUGUCAUGUGCAUUCUUUACAAUAAAAAAGAGGAACAAUGUCGCUUUACACUCAAAUGCCAACCAAUCCAAUGAAAUCUGAAGAUCCCAGCAGGACCACAUCAUCUGCAAAAAGCAGAGACUUCAUCCAGCAGCCACCAAAGCGUAUCCCUUCAAUGUCUUUGUUUUGAUUGAUUGAUUGAGACUUUUAUUAGUAGAUUGCACAGUCAAGUACAAGUACAUAUUCUGUACACCCAAAUACGUUUUUCAACUUGUUUUGGUCAGGGUCCACGUUAAUCAAUUAAUGGUAGCACCAAGAAAUGAUGUCCAUAAAAGUUAUGAACCCAAUCGGUGACAGCAUGCAGCCUG